UUGGAUUACGAAAUUGUGAGGAGUUUGAAUGAUUAGGGGCCUUAUUCUGAUCCUUUUGCACUUAUGUGUGCAUUUUUUAAACCUACUUAUACAUAUUGCCAAUAUGGCAAUACUACAAGUAUCCUCAGCGGUAGGGACAUUUUUACAUUAUUGUUUUUCUCUGUAUAACAUUUGAUAGAAUAAUUUGAGUCAUGUAUCUUAGUGAAAUAUUAGUGAAAUCACCAACAGACUUUUUAUUUGAACAAGUAAUGGGGCUUUGUAUGUGUAUGACAAAUUCAUUGAACGUGCCAUUGUUCUGUUGCGGAUUAUGACAUCUGAUGAGGAGUAAGGACUUCACUGUUUCUGUGGCCAGCAUUAACCCAUUUCCCCCCUUGUUUUCUGGUUUGCAAUAGUCAAUUGCUGGAGUGACUAGUUUUUAACCUUUGUUAUAUAGUAACUCAAACUAGUCUCCUUUGUAAUCAGCUUCCAAGUGAUCUUUCAGAAAAACAUAUGGAAAGCCAGUGAAUGUGAACCUAACUGGAUUACAAUAAUAUACCUUUUUGUUGUAGACAGUAUGGUGACAAGCACAUUAGAAAGUUAGAGCUUAGGUUAUAUUAGGUGCCCUCUCCAAACUGUAUCCUUUUCAGGAAUGACAUUUUUUUUUUUUUUGGCAGAGAUAGCAUUUGCCGGAACCCCACAAAAUGCUUCAGUCCUGUUAGGCUCCAAAUUUAAUCACCUUUAUGAUUGUCCCGCCCUUUUGAAGAAUGUCCCCUGGACUCUAAAUGUCUCUGACUUUUAACAUUACACUCUAUCAUCCCUAAACAAUUCAAAAUUAAACUAACAAUAGCCAUUGUUUCUGUAGGGCUUGGACAAGAAUGAUGUUGUGUUCCAAUAGUUGACUCUGUGCUAAGAGUUAAGUAGCCCUUGUGAUGGUGUGUCUACCCCCACACAAGACUAAAAGGGAUUAAGAUGGCCAGGCAGGCCAAUUAACUUCACAGGCUGUACCUGGAGGGGGAGCCAGGGAGCAGGGAAUUGAUUGAAAGCAGGCUAAACUGGGUAGGAACAGGUGGGGCCUAUAAAACCAGGAAGCUGGCAACAGACAAAGGCUGAUGGGAAAGGCUGUAGCCAUUCCCUGAGAAGAGGGAGGAGGUUUGGCAUUAGUAUACCCAGAGAAAGGAGAGGAACCGGGAGAGAGUGACAGGGGUCUGUAGAAUGAGAGGACAAUGGGAGAGACACUUCCAAAGGAGGAUGCAACACCUGGCUGGAGCUGAUCCCCAGGUUGGGCCUGGAGGAGUGCCACCAACAAUUGGCUAAAAAGAAAUGAAUGGAAGGAGAGUCAAUAAUGGAAUGUCUUAGUGAGUAUUGAUCAGAUGGCAUCUUUUGGCAAUGUGUCCUGGCAGUAAGAAUUACAUGACCCUCCAAGAUGGACUUCAAAUCACUGAGGUGGCAGAUGUUCCUUUGUUUUUGCUGUGGUACAGCUGGCCUCAGGUCUCUCAGGUGUCUUGUAUCUCUUCAUUCUGCCUCUUUUGCUCUUCAUUCUGCCUCUUUUGCUCUGUUUUCUCUACAAUUGUCAUUACACCAGGGAGUCAUCAUGAUACCUUGUUAGCAUGACCUUCUGGAGAAGUUAUGGCUUGCACUAAGCUUUCUUGUACUGCUUUUGAAUGACCAGACGAAUGCAUUCUAAGGGCAUUUAUGCGUUCUGAAGUUUUAUAUUAGAACACUGCUUACACUGGACUGAAUUCUGCCAGGUACCAAAUGCCCUCAGUUCACACACCAGGAAGUCAAUGGAACACUAUCUAUUUAUAACAAAUGAGGAGUUGGCCUAAUUGAGAUAUAUUUUUUGUAUUUUAAGAUAAUCAUGGCCAUAUUUGAAAAUUACAGCUGGUUGAGCUAUUAUUAAAAAAUGUAACCGCUUUCCUCCCUUUUUAGAUUAUUGAACCUUUUAUGAACUAAUCCUCAUUUCUGUAAAUAAA